GAAAGUGAAGAUUGCAGAUCUUUGAAAAGUCUUAUCUUUGCUAGACUCGAAAUGGCUGCUGGGAAGUAUCAAGAAUCCUACUCUUCACGGUUUUCUAAUUGUAAAUAUCAAGUGUUCUUGAGUUUUAGAGGUGAAGACACCCGCAAGAACUUUACCGAUCACCUCUACACAGCCCUGGUUCAAGCAGGGAUUCACACAUUUAGAGACGAUGAUGAAAUUGGGAGAGGAGAAAAUAUCAAGUCAGAGCUCCAACAGGCAAUACAACAAUAAAAAAAUAUCGAUAAUCGUGUUCUCCAAAGCGUAUGAUUCGUCGCGGUGGUGCCUGAAUGAACUUGUAAUGAUCAUGGAACGUAAGAGCAAUACUGACUGCAUAAUUUUGCCGGUCUUCUAUGACGUGGAUCCGUCUGAAGUCAGAAAUCAAACAGGGAGCUUUGCUGCAGCAUUUAUGGAUCAUGAAAAGCGCUUCAAGAAGGAGAUGGAGCAAGUGAAUGGGUGGAGGAUUGCUUUGUAGGAAGUUGCAGAUUUAGGAGGAAUGGUUUUAGGAGAUGGGUAAGUUGUAUUUCUUGAUGAAACUACACAUAACAUAAUAAUAGAAUGCUGG